UGAGGAAUAUUGGUCAAUGGGCGGGAGCCUGAACCAGCCAAGCCGCGUGAGGGAGGAAGGCCCUGUGGGUCGUAAACCUCUUUUGUCAGGGAACAAAAGCGAGUAUGUAUACUAGUCUGAGUGUACCUGAAGAAAAAGCAUCGGCUAACUCCGUGCCAGCAGCCGCGGUAAUACGGAGGAUGCGAGCGUUAUCCGGAUUUAUUGGGUUUAAAGGGUGCGUAGGCGGCGGUGCAAGUCAGCGGUAAAAGCCCGGGGCUCAACCCCGGCGAGCCGUUGAAACUGCAGUGCUAGAGAAGGCGAGAGGUACGCGGAAUGCGCAGUGUAGCGGUGAAAUGCUUAGAUAUUGCGCAGAACUCCGAUUGCGAAGGCAGCGUACUGGCGCCUGACUGACGCUGAGGCACGAAAGCGUGGGGAUCGAACAGGAUUAGAUACCC
rnacentral:rRNA from 1 species